rnacentral:rRNA from 1 species
CAGUCGCCGCGGUAAUACGUAGGGUGCGAGCGUUAAUCGGAAUUACUGGGCGUAAAGCGUGCGCAGGCGGUUGUGUAAGACAGGUGUGAAAUCCCCGGGCUUAACCUGGGAACUGCGCUUGUGACUGCACAGCUAGAGUAUGGCAGAGGGGGGUGGAAUUCCACGUGUAGCAGUGAAAUGCGUAGAGAUGUGGAGGAACACCGAUGGCGAAGGCAGCCCCCUGGGCCAAUACUGACGCUCAUGCACGAAAGCGUGGGGAGCAAACAGGAUUAGAUACCCGCGUAGUCCCUGUCUCUUAUAC